rnacentral:rRNA from 1 species
ACUCCUACGGGAGGCAGCAGUAGGGAAUAUUGCACAAUGGGCGAAAGCCUGAUGCAGCAACGCCGCGUGCGCGAUGAAGGUCUUCGGAUCGUAAAGCGCCUUUCUGAGGGAUGAGAAAGGACAGUAUCUCAGGAAUAAGUCUCGGCUAACUACGUGCCAGCAGCCGCGGUAAU